AUUGGAUGAGCCCGCGGCCUAUCAGCUUGUUGGUGGGGUAAUGGCCCACCAAGGCGACGACGGGUAGCCGGCCUGAGAGGGUGACCGGCCACACUGGGACUGAGAUACGGCCCAGACUCCUACGGGAGGCAGCAGUGGGGAAUAUUGCACAAUGGGCGCAAGCCUGAUGCAGCGACGCCGCGUGAGGGAUGACGGCCUUCGGGUUGUAAACCUCUUUCAGUAGGGACGAAGCGAAAGUGACGGUACCUACAGAAGAAGGUCCGGCUAACUACGUGCCAGCAGCCGCGGCCGAAU
rnacentral:rRNA from 1 species